AUUUUGUAUAUUCCUAUAAUUUGUGAAAUCUGAAACAUAACAAUUUCUAUGAUUGUGAUAUAGAAUAAAUUCGUUUAUGAACUAUAUAUCUGAAUUGCUGAGAUUUUUUAUCUGGAAUUUGCAUGCAUGUUCUUGUUCCUUCCUGUUCUUGUUAUGACUGGUGAUUUAGGUCAUAAACACACUAAAGAGGGAUCAAACAAACCACCAUGGCUUAACCUCACCCAUUCACAGGUGUGAGGGAGUGAAAUACAAAAACCAGCUUCUUACUGUUCUCAACAUGAACAAUGUGAAGGUGCACUUUUUGGCUUGCUAAGAGGCAUCUUUCAGAACUCAUUACUAACUGGUCUAUAUAUGAUAAUAAGGUGCUUAUAUUGAAUGUAUCAAAUUUGAACUAAGUUUUAUGAUCUUACAUUCUUCAGUGCUUAGUAAACAGUUUUACAAUUAUUUAUUUCUUACCAAAGUUUCUUUUUCGGCUAUUAAUAAGAUAUAUGUCUACAUGUGUUGAAGAAUAGCUAAAUUGAUUUAGUGUUCAAUAAGAACAGCUACUGUGACUAUUUGAGCCUCAGAAGAUCGAAGAGGACCCAAUUUGAUUGAGGUAAUGCAAGAGAGAAACUUCUGGAUUCUAUUGAAGAUCUGAAACCAGACUCAAUUGUACUGGGAAGCAGGGGACUUAGCACAAUCCAAAGGUUGACGUCUAUACAUUAUCAAGAAAGUGGAAGGAGUUGGUUGAUAAGGCCCGGGCCAAGCAGCUCCAACCUCAUGAGUAUAGCACAGGACUUGGUUUACUCCAAAUAUACAAGCCCUCAGGAAUGGAUAAUCCUGGCACUGGCACUGGCACGCCACAUCAGGAAUGCACUAAAGGACUAUGAUGAUGAUGAGGAUGAAGAUGACACUGAAGACUAUAGCUAAUAGUUUUAGUAUGGUUGAAUAAUAUACUAGGA